UCAUUGUUUUUUCAAUAGGAGAGAAGUUCCAGGUUCAGCAACAUGCGAACUAAUUAGAAGCUUCUCCAUACUAUGGGUAGAAAGGGUUAUCCACGUGUGGCUUAUGAAAUGGUACUUCUUACGAACAUAUCAUGUCUUUUUACUUGAAUUGUCCAAUUUCAAUAUAUUUGAUUACUACAUUUGUACUGCAGAAGAAAAAGAAUCCACAUUUAAAAGGGUUAAGAAUAGAAGUAUGGAAAUAUGGACAUCUCAGAAAAGAUGGAAAACCAAUUAAUGAAGCAGUUGCCGAAACAUUGGUAUGUGUAUUAUACUAAUGUUCAAUUAAGCAUAAUUUGAUUUAUUAGUUGUAUCACUUGCUACUAUUUGAUUUGAGUUCCUUAAGUGCAGAAAAAGAUUGAAGAUUGUGCCACAUCAAUUUCCGAUAUGCUUGCAUAAGAUUCUAUCCGUGAUGAUGCUAUAGCUCGAGUUUUUGGUCCCGAACGCUAUGGAAGAGUUAGGGGACCCGGAUUUGGAGUUGUACCAUCAAAAGUGGAUGGAUAAAUACAAAGUAGUGGGAGAGCUAGAGAACUUGAAAGCCAAGUACAGAUUCAGGCACAAAGGAUGGGGGCAUUAGAAGAAAAAAUGGAGGUUUUCUCAGUAGGUUAUAAGUAGUUACUUUUUAUACAUUUUAUGAUUAUAUAGCUUUAUAUAGCCAAUUACAGGUAUAAUAACUUUUGUAAUUUUUGUAUUAUUAUACAAAAUGUGGAGGAUAGGAAUUCAAAUGCUUUUAAUCAGGUUUCCAUUUCCUAUAUUAUUAAAUGUUUAUUUAAUAUAUAUUCAAUUUGUAGCAUUCUAAUUUUAAAAAGAAUACUUUUUGUUUAUUAUGAAUUUGUAGUCACACCAAGGAAGUGGUGUCCAAAGAAGUACUACCCCCAAGACAAAUGCAAGAUGUCAACUGUUGCAUUGGUACAUGUUUGAGGAGGAAGAAGUCGUAGCAGAAGGGAAGAUUGCCACAAGAGAUCCAAGUGCAAAGGUGCAUCACUUGCCACUCGGUCGAGACUGUUGAAAGGUUUGGAUUGAGGAAGUCUAUGUGGGUAAUUUGACCCUAUACAGACCCACAUAUGAAUUCCGCACUCUUAGUGAAGCCAUGGAAAGUACUAUUGCUUGGUCAAAGAGUAGUAUUAGACUUCUUGAUUAAGGUAUUAGACUCUUAGUGGCA
rnacentral:lncRNA from 1 species